UACAGAGGUGGCAAGCGUUGUUCGGAAUCACUGGGCAUAAAGGGCGCGUAGGCGGCGAGGUAAGUCGGGUGUGAAAUCCCUCAGCUCAACUGAGGAACUGCGCCCGAUACUACCUUGCUAGAGUGCAGGAGAGGAGAGUGGAACUCCUAGUGGAGCGGUGAAAUGCGUAGAGAUUAGGAGGAACGCCGGUGGCGAAAGCGACUCUCUGGCCUGUAACUGACGCUGAGGCGCGAAAGCUAGGGGAGCAAACGGG
rnacentral:rRNA from 1 species